UAGCCUAGUGGUUAGGCUUAGGAUCGCCAAUCCGGAGACGACGGGUUCGAUUCCCGU
rfam:Aedes albopictus isolate Foshan contig58159, whole genome shotgun sequence.